GACGAACGCUGGCGGCGUGCUUAACACAUGCAAGUCGAACGGAAAGGCCCUGCUUUUGUGGGGUGCUCGAGUGGCGAACGGGUGAGUAACACGUGAGUAACCUGCCCUUGACUUUGGGAUAACUUCAGGAAACUGGGGCUAAUACCGGAUAGGAGCUCCUGCUGCAUGGUGGGGGUUGGAAAGUUUCGGCGGUUGGGGAUGUACUCGCGGCUUAUCAGCUUGUUUGUGGGGUAGGGGCUUACCAAGGCUUUGACGGGUAGCCGGCCUGGGAGGGUGACCGGCCACAUUGGGACUGAGAUACGGCCCAGACUCCUACGGGAGGCAGCAGUGGGGAAUAUUGCACAAUGGGCGGAAGCCUGAUGCAGCAACGCCGCGUGCGGAAUGACGGCCUUCGGGUUAUAAACCGCUUUCGCCUGUGACGAAGCGUGAGUGACGGUAAUGGGUAAAGAAGCACCGGCUAACUACGUG
rnacentral:rRNA from 1 species